AGACUGAACAAAUCAAGUGACCUCAGCUGCUCCUUAUAUGGUUUUCCCUCCAGAUCCUUCACCAUCCUUGCUGCCCUGCCUUGGGC